rnacentral:rRNA from 1 species
AUUGAACGCUGGCGGCAGGCCUAACACAUGCAAGUCGAACGAGUGGCGGACGGGUGAGUAAUGUCUGGGAAACUGCCUGAUGGAGGGGGAUAACUACUGGAAACGGUAGCUAAUACCGCAUACCAUCGGAUGUGCCCAGAUUGGAUGAGCUAGUAGGUGGGGUAAAGGCUAACCUAGGCGACGAUCCCUAGCUGGUCUGAGAGGAUGACCAGCCACACUGGAACUGAGACACGGUCCAGACUCCUACGGGAGGCAGCAGUGGGGAAUAUUGCACAAUGGGCGAAAGCCUGAUCCAGCCAUGCCGCGUGUGUGAAGAAGGUCUUCGGAUUGUAAAGCACUUUAAGUUGGGAGGCGUUACUAAAAGAAUAAGCACCGGCUAACUUCGUGCCAGCAGCCGCGGUAAUAC